GGAGAGAAUCGGUCCCAGCAGAGCAGCACCACGGUAAGUAAGGGCCAGAGUGGCCCUGGUACGAGAAUGACACCAAGUGGGAACUUGGCUCUCCAGGAAGGAAUGGGGAGCACCAGUGCUAUGGACCGAAGGUGACAUCCUGUUAAGUCCGGAGUCCUUGGCUGGUGGUUACUGUUUCUGCACCUUGAGAGCACCCUGUCGCGGCCUCCUCGUGCGCCAUUUCUGUCGAGAGCUCAUCUGGAGGUCUUAUCACUGCUCCUUUUAAGCUCUGACUGUGUCCUGAAGCAGACAGAAGUGGAGGCAUGGGAAUCAAGAGGAUCUCUCCAGGAAGGAAAGAGAGAGGUCGGGGCAGAGAGGCCACACAGCC